UAGGGAAUCUUCGGCAAUGGGCGCAAGCCUGAUGGAGCAACACCGCGUGAGUGAAGAAGGGUUUCGGCUCGUAAAGCUCUGUUGUUAAAGAAGAACACGUAUGAGAGUAACUGUUCAUUCGAUGACGGUAUCUAACCAGCAAGUCACGGCUAACUACGUGCCAA
rnacentral:rRNA from 1 species